GAUGAACGCUGGCGGCGUGCCUAAUACAUGCAAGUCGAGCGAACAGAUAAGGAGCUUGCUCCUUUGACGUUAGCGGCGGACGGGUGGGUAACACGUGGGUAACCUACCUAUAAGACUGGAAUAACUCCGGGAAACCGGGGCUAAUGCCGGAUAACAUUUAGAACCGCAUGGUUCUAAAGUGAAAGAUGGUUUUGCUAUCACUUAUAGAUGGACCCGCGCCGUAUUAGCUAGUUGGUAAGGUAACGGCUUACCAAGGCAACGAUACGUAGCCGACCUGAGAGGGGGAUCGGCCACACGGGAACUGAGACCCGGUCCAGACCCCUACGGGAGGCAGCAGUGGGGAAUCUUCCGAAAGGGGCGAAAGCCUGACGGAGCAACGCCGGGUGGGUGAUGAAGGUCUUCGGAUCGUAAAACUCUGUUAUUAGGGAAGAAAAAAUGUGUAAGUAACUGUGCCCGUCUUGACGGUACCUAAACAAAAAGCCCCGGCUAACUACGU
rnacentral:rRNA from 1 species